rnacentral:rRNA from 1 species
GAUGAACGCUGGCGGCGUGCCUAAUACAUGCAAGUCGAGCGAACAGACGAGGAGCUUGCUCCUUUGACGUUAGCGGCGGACGGGUGAGUAACACGUAGGUAACCUACCUAUAAGACUGGGAUAACUUCGGGAAACCGGAGCUAAUACGGGAUAAUAUUUCGAACCGCAUGGUUCGAUAGUGAAAGAUGGCUUUGCUAUCACUUAUAGAUGGACCUGCGCCGUAUUAGCUAGUUGGUAAGGUAACGGCUUACCAAGGCAACGAUACGUAGCCGACCUGAGAGGGUGAUCGGCCACACUGGAACUGAGACACGGUCCAGACUCCUACGGGAGGCAGCAGUAGGGAAUCUUCCGCAAUGGGCGAAAGCCUGACGGAGCAACGCCGCGUGAGUGAUGAAGGUCUUCGGAUCGUAAAACUCUGUUAUUAGGGAAGAACAAACGUGUAAGUAACUGUGCACGUCUUGACGGUACCUAAUCAGAAAGCCACGGCUAACUACGUG